AACGUAGGAGGCGAGCGUUAUCCGGAGUUACUGGGCGUAAAGAGCGUGUAGGCGGGUAUGCAAGUUUGGCGUGAAAGCUCCCGGCUAAACUGGGAGACUGUGUUGAAGACUGCGUAUCUAGAGGCAAGUAGAGGGACGUGGAAUUCCGGGUGUAGUGGUGAAAUGCGUAGAGAUCCGGAGGAACACCAGUGGCGAAGGCGACGUCUUGGGCUUGACCUGACGCUGAGACGCGACAGCACGGGGAGCGAACGGG
rnacentral:rRNA from 1 species